rnacentral:rRNA from 1 species
AUGUCUUUUUGAUUAUAAUUUAAGGUUUAAUCUGCUCAAUGAUUAUUUAAAUUGCCGCAGUAUUUUGACUGUGCAAAGGUAGCAUAAUAAUUAGUUUCUUUAUUGGGAACUGGAAUGAAUGAUUGGACGAGAAAAUUUCUGUCUCUUUAUUAUUUUAAUUGAAUUUUACUUUUAAGUUAAAAGGCUUAAAUUUUAUUAGAGGACGAGAAGACCCUAUAGAGUUUAAUUUUUAUUUAAAUAAUUAUUUUUAGUAUCUAUAUAUAUUAUUUAAAUAAAAAUUUAGUUGGGGUGACUAAAAGAUAAGAAUAACUCUUUUAAUUUUUAUCAAUUAUUUUUGAUUAUAAAAUCUUUAUUUUUAAUUUUAAAAUAAAUUACCUUAGGGAUAACAGCGUAAUUCUUUUUUAAAGUUCUUAUUAAAAGAAGAGUUUGCGACCUCGAUGUUGGAUUAAAAUUAAUUUUAGGUGUAGAAGCUUGAAAAUUAAGUCUGUUCGACUUUUAAAAUUUUACAUGAUCUGAGUUUAAACCGGUGUGAGCCAGGUUGGUUUCUAUCCUUAAUUAUAUAUUAUACU